GGAGAAAACCCACAACAAAACUUGCGUCGCCGAGCUCACGGCUCGACUUGAAUGGAAGGAGCCCGCGCCCGCGGAGCGCAGAGACUCGGGACAGCGCGGACCGCCGGCCCGGCGCGGCGCGGCGCGGGGUCGCAGCAGGUACCAUGGCCCAGAGCAGAACACUGCUGCUUCUCUUGCUGCUGCCACCGCAGCUGCAGCUGGGACUGGUGGGCACAGCGAGGUCUCCAGGGUUUGGCCGAAGUGGUACCCACAGCCUGAGCCCUGACGAGAAUGAAUUUGUGGAGGAGGGGCCAGUGCUGGUGCUGAGCCCCGAGGAGACAGGGCGUGGCCCUGUUACCAUCAACUGCCCCCGAGACUGUGCCUGCUCCCAGGAAGGUGUUGUGGACUGCGGUGGCAUCGACCUGCGCGAGUUCCCGGGGGACCUGCCUGAGCACACCAACCACCUGUCCCUGCAGAACAACCAGCUGGAGAAAAUCUACCCCCGGGAGCUCUCCAGGUUGCAUCGGCUGGAAACUCUGAACCUCCAGAACAAUCGCCUGACUUCCCGAGGGCUCCCGGAGGAGGCAUUUGAGCAUCUGACCAAUCUCAACUACCUGUACUUGGCCAAUAACAAGCUGACCUUGGCACCCCGAUUCCUGCCAAACACCCUGAUCAGUGUGGACUUUGCUGCCAACUAUCUCACCAAGAUCUACGGGCUCACCUUCGGUCAGAAGCCAAACUUGAGGUCCGUGUACCUGCACAACAACAAGCUGGCGGAUGCCGGGCUGCCAGACAACAUGUUCAACGGCUCCAGCAACGUGGAGAUCCUCAUUCUGUCCAGCAACUUCCUGCGCCACGUGCCCAAGCACCUGCCGCCCGCCCUCUAUAAGCUACACCUCAAGAACAACAAGCUGGAGAAGAUCCCACCAGGAGCCUUCAGUGAGCUGAGCAACCUGCGUGAGCUCUACCUACAGAACAACUACCUGACCGACGAGGGCCUGGACAAUGAGACCUUCUGGAAGCUCUCCAGCCUGGAGUACUUGGAUCUGUCCAGCAACAACUUAUCACGGGUGCCCGCCGGUCUGCCGCGCAGCCUGGUGCUCCUGCACCUGGAGAAGAACGCCAUCCGGAGCGUGGACGCCGACGUGCUGACGCCCAUCCGCAGCCUGGAGUACCUGCUGCUGCACAGCAACCAGCUGCACGCGCACGGCAUCCACCCGCGUGCCUUCCAGGGCCUCAAGCGGCUGCAUACGGUGCACCUGUACAACAACGCGCUGGAGCGCGUGCCUGGCGGCCUGCCCCGGCGCGUGCGCACACUCAUGAUCCUGCACAACCAGAUCACUGGCAUCGGCCGCGACGACUUCGCCACCACCUACUUCCUGGAGGAGCUCAACCUCAGCUAUAACCGCAUCACCAGCCCGCAGGUGCACCGCGAUGCCUUCCGCAAGCUGCGCCUGCUGAGAUCGCUGGACCUUUCGGGUAACCGGCUGCACACCUUACCCCCGGGGCUGCCGCGCAAUGUGCACGUGCUGAAGGUCAAGCGCAAUGAGCUGGCCGCCCUGGCGCGCGGGGCGCUGGCCGGCAUGGCCCAGCUGCGUGAGCUCUACCUCACUGGCAACCGGCUGCGCAGCCGGGCCCUGGGCCCCCGGGCCUGGGCCGACCUGUCCCAUCUGCAGCUGCUGGAUAUCGCUGGGAAUCAACUCACAGAGAUCCCGGAGGGGCUCCCUGAGUCACUCGAGUACCUGUACCUGCAGAACAACAAGAUCAGUUCUGUGCCUGCCAGUGCCUUCGACUCCACACCGAACCUCAAAGGGGUCUUUCUCAGGUUUAACAAACUGGCUGUGGGCUCCGUAGUGGAAAGUGCCUUCCGGAGGCUGAAGCACCUGCAGGUCUUGGACAUAGAAGGCAACUUUGAGUUUGGCGACGUUUCCAAAGACCGGGGCCAGCUGAAGGAGGAAGAGGAUGAGGAAGACGAGGAGGAUGAGGAUGAGGAGGAUGAGGAGAAUGAGGAGAGGCGAUAGUGACAGGGUGAACCGGAUGUGACACAGCAGGAGGUGCUCAGCUGACCGGGGUGGGUGUGGAGAAGAUGGACCAUAGGAUCCAUCCGUGGCGGGGUUUUUGGCCAGGAUAAUGGACCCCCGGACCCCUUUCUGCAGCACCUACCUGUGCCCUGUGAGCCCUGGUGUGCCAUGUUCACAGACGUUCCCAGUGCCAACCCCACCAGCCCUGCCGCCCACCGCCACCACCACGCAGGCUGAGCACACAGUCUCCAACCCCACCUGCUCCUGCAGCGCCCUCAGCCACCUAUGUGCAGGUACCAUGACGCGUCUACACACUGCCGGCUUCAUGGAGCCCCCUGAACAGUUCCAUGCCCUGCCCAGGCCCUCCAGUGCCAUCAUGUCCCUGGACUCACACAGACUUAGGGAAGGGUCUGACCCUGCCCUGGCACCCACGGAUGUCUGCUCCCUUCACCAUGGACCCACAUGUACACCCAGCCACUGCCCACUGCCCACAAGUCACAUGUGAACAGUCCUCUGUGGCUUUGCCACCAACAUAUCUUGCCCCAGCCAGAACAGCUUGCCGUUUGUCCAUCCAGAGGCAGAGUUUUCUUGGUGCUCUCUGUGGCCAGGGGCCUCCCACUCUCUGGAACUCACAGAAGCUGACUUUUGUUCCUCUUCCUGCCUUUGGGACUGCUGCCCUGGCCUGCUUGCCCUGGUCCCCAACUGCUGGGGCGGUCACUCCCUGCCAUGCCCUGGCCGGCCACAGGUGCGUCUUUGGUGGAGAUCCCACUGAGGCCAGAGGCAGUCUCCUGGGGCAGCUGGGGCCCUGGGCAAGAGUGAGGUGGAGGGGCAGGGCCAAGCAAGGAGGAAGGGCCCAGCUGCCCUUAUGACAUACCGUUUUUUUUUAUUCUUUGGGCCUGUGGGGAGUUCUGGGUGCCUUUGGACUUGGAAUUCUUUUUAAGAAAAAAAAAAAAAAAGAUAAAAAAACCCUCAAAGCUGACUUUUCUUGUUACAGAAAAACUAAUAUAAAAGCAUUACCCCUUUCUGGCAGCCCA